rnacentral:rRNA from 1 species
GAUGAACGCUGGCGGCGUGCCUAAUACAUGCAAGUCGAGCGAACAGACGAGGAGCUUGCUCCUCUGACGUUAGCGGCGGACGGGUGAGUAACACGUGGAUAACCUACCUAUAAGACUGGGAUAACUUCGGGAAACCGGAGCUAAUACCGGAUAAUAUAUUGAACCGCAGGGUUCAAUAGUGAAAGACGGUUUUGCUGUCACUUAUAGAUGGAUCCGCGCCGCAUUAGCUAGUUGGUAAGGUAACGGCUUACCAAGGCAACGAUGCGUAGCCGACCUGAGAGGGUGAUCGGCCACACUGGAACUGAGACACGGUCCAGACUCCUACGGGAGGCAGCAGUAGGGAAUCUUCCGCAAUGGGCGAAAGCCUGACGGAGCAACGCCGCGUGAGUGAUGAAGGUCUUUGGAUCGUAAAACUCUGUUAUUAGGGAAGAACAAAUGUGUAAGUAACUAUGCACGUCUUGACGGUACCUAAUCAGAAAGCCACGGCUAACUACGUG